GUAGGCGGUUUUUAAAAGAAAACAAGAAGGGGCUGGGGGGGGGGGGUGCGGUGUGAGGCUGGCUUUCCCAAGGACUACACAUUCCUCCCUUCUAGGAAACAGUCGCCUGAGCACCAGACUUCUGCACACUGCAGUCAUGUGCACAACAAGUAUUAGGAGAGGGAAUGGAAAUUCCUUUUUCAAGAGGCCUCGGCACCUGUUGGCGUUCUGAUGUUUUACUUUCAGUCGAAGAACAGCUCAGUCCUCGCUUUCUCUGCUAUCAACCACAGGGAGCAUCACAUUUCCGUAAUUAUUUUGUCAUUUAUUAAUUGGAAGAAGAGAUCAGGGAUUCCCUCCGGAAGGAGCACGUAUGGGCAAAGUAUUUUUUCGAGCAACAUGUGUUGCUUGGAAGGAACUGGUAAACAGACUCUCUUUCUUGAAAGGUUCUAGAGCUCUAACUGUUUCACUGUUACUAAUUCUCAAUUAACUGUCAGCGUACUACCUGUAGAGUGCCACUAUAUUUAAAGACAUAACAACAAGACCUUACUUUCUGUUGCAGGGUUUGUUGGCUUAAAAUGAGCUUAAAGGGCUGGGGACACAGCUCAGUGUGAGCCCUGGGUUCAACUCCCAGUACAAGGGGGAAAAAAUAAACAACACCUAGUGCUUGAAAAAUACUAGCAUUGGGCAAUAUAGGGUAAUCUAUGUUGGACAAAUUGAUAUUAUGUUGAUCAAAAAUGAAAAUGACAAAUGAUAUACUAAUGUAUUAGAUUGUAAACAAUAUUUUUUUUAUUACUAACAAGUGAAAUUUACCAACGUGCGUUUUUUAGAUUUAGAGAUUUUUGUCCAAGGAAUGCUAGCAAGUUCAUUUAACAUCCAUAAAGGGUACUUACUAUAAGCUGAGUUCUAUAAUUCCUAACAAGGUUUUUAUGUAAUUUAUUAAAACAAUAAGCAUGGAGCUUGAGAAUCACCUGAUGAAUUAUUGUGUUAAAACCACAAAAACAAUCCUUUGCACUUCGAUAACUUGGACAGAGGCGGUGACUCAGAAACAUAGUCCUACUUCACAAAGCUUGAGUAGAUUGAUAUUUACACAUUUCAGUAGUCAAUAGCAGGUAGAUCUAUUUGAUGAGAGGUAAGUGAUCAAAGAUUAUAUAAUUUAUACACUUUUAUAUGUGCUGAAUUGGUAACCAACAAAGUAAAUUAAAUGCUCACAGGAGCCGAGUUCUGAAAUCUUCCCAGUGUUAUGCUAUUUUUAGUGCAAUGAUGCUUAUGCUAUUUAGGAAUGUCCAGCCUGAUAUCAGACUGAUAAUAACUACAAAGAAAGCCCUGACCCUCUGUGACUACCUGUCAGUGGCUCAAGUUGUUUGUACAAAAGACAGACACCAUCCCCAAGCACAGCUGGAAACUUGAUAAUAAAGUUGAUUUGCGCUGGAUGGUUUAAAUACGAAUCAGUUUGUUUGGAGUUUUCUGGAAGCAGUCAUUUUUCAGACUUCCUGGUUAAAUAACUGACUUUCAUUAUUAUAUUUGGAUGACAAAUCAACCUUUGUAAGUCUGGCUUUCCCAAGUAAAACGUUAUCCUUAUUUAAAGAAAAAGAUGAUUCAGUGUCCCAAGACAAUGGAAGAUAGAACACAAAAUCACUGAGGCAGAUACAACCUUACAGAAACCCCACAAUCUGGUCUCCUGCCUUCAAUCCUAUAUCUCUGUACUAUUUCAGUAAACAAAUAUGACUAGUGCAAUUAGUAGAUGCCAUCUGUUUUGGCAUCAUUUUUCUAUUUUUGAUAUAUAGUCCAUCUUUUGCUUUUUUUUAAACAUCUUUUGCAGAAAAUCUGUGAAGUUUGAACAAGCGGCCUUCCCA
rnacentral:lncRNA from 1 species